UUUCCACAUUCACACAUGUCAUAGUGUGUUCUUAGUAAACAAUUAUAAGUGAAUUUAUAAAAGUGAGAGCUAGAUUGGUCCUGAUUCUGCAAGGAGAGCUGUACACAGGAGACCUCUGUGCUGGCAUGGAGCUUGUUGUAGGAUCUGGGUUGUGGACUAUUAUAUGUGAGGAUACAAAGGCUAAAAUUAAGGAAAAUACAUAGCUCAGACAUGACGGAUUUUCUGAUCACUCGUUAACUCAAUAGAAUGCUACCUCAUUUGCAUUUAUACCUAAAAAUUAGGGUUGUGUGAUUUAUUUUAGAAAACAAUUAUUGGGAAAUACUUUAAACUACAACAAAUAGGCAGGAUGGGCCGAAGCUGCUUCCCAGCAAUUUGGAGCAAGUCAAAACUACUAUGUGAGUCAAUCAACCAAAAGUGAAUGCAAUUACUGAAUAUCAAAUGUAGACCAGAGAGACUAAUUUAAUUACAGAGGCUACAGGGAUAGUGCUUGGAGACGAAGCAGCACAAUGCGGAAAUUAAGAUUAAUCAAAUAUUUUAUCAGGAAAAAGAAGAAAUUAUUUUCAAGCAAUGACCAAGUGCCUUCCCUGCCUGUUGCUUUAUGUUAGUUCCAUCUCAAGAAAUCAGUUUGCUGUUCCCCUUCUCUGUACAGGAUUGUUUUAUUAUCUCCUAUUAUUUGCUUUUAUCAAGAUUUUCCAAAGCAGGUGUUUGCUCCAUCUGAUGGAAAGUGCCUGCUGUCUGAACUCCACAAAACCUGCUGCAUUCCUGGAACAUCUACAGUUAAGAUGAGCUGGCAGAAGGCAAAGAGGGAGAGUAAAGAUGACAGCAUAGGUGAUAUGAAACAUGGAAGGAAAAAGAGAGAGCGUCUGUUUAAGAAAAGGUUUUCUGCACUGAAUUUCUUCUCUCGGCCUUCCAAGAGUAAACUCCAUCAGGGGAGGAAUCGGGUUUUUGAAGACAAGAAGAGAUGCUUACACAGGAAAGGUUCCAAAAAAAUUAAGCCCCCAAGGGAGGAAAUGUGUUCUCUAAGGCAGCCACACUCGGGGAAAAUGUGUCCGAAAUGUGAAAUCAUCAUCUGCCGGAAGUGUGAGACACUGCACUCAGAAAGCAGUUUCAUUGCCCACAGCUUAUUGGAUCACUAUGACAAAGGAGAUGCCUGCUGCCACCAUGGAUAUAGGGAUGAUCAAGGACUCACAGUAGAUCCCUUGUUUAAGCAAGAUGUUGAAGCUUCAAAACAUUAAAACUCCAGCCCUACACUUGGAUCCAUAUAGGCUCAGCUUGGAGUCAGCAUGGAUCUGAAAGCAGGCCUGGGGUCUAAAAUUGCAUUGUAUUGCAUUGCAUGCUUGCUACAUAUACCAGCUGCACACUGAAUAACCUAAAUAUUGUGCACUCUUCAUAUGUAAAGUAGUUUAUAAGUGUGAGCUGAAAGCUUUUUAGGCCUACUAGGACCCAUGUUUGCUCUGUAAUAGCAUACUCUUAAAAUGUAUAGAAUUCUCUAUGAAACAAGUUUAUCAGCUGCAGCAGUAGUAGUGCAGAAUCCUAGAUGCAGAUCUUGACAGUGAAUGAAGAAUUUUGGUUUAUAUUAUAUUUGUUGGUAAGGUGUAGAGCUGUUCAGAGGUUUUUUUUUAUUACUGAUCUGGCAUAUUAAACAGUUUUAUUUAUUUUUAAACUGCAUGAGCAUGUAUGUGAAAUCAGAGAGACAGCCUCAGUGUCUCAAGUCUUCUGUUCAUCCACAGGAAUCAUUACAUCCCUCCAUUUCCCCACAAGCCAUCCUCCCACACCCUCUAUUUCAGGGACUCUCUGUAGCUUCUCUUGCCAUCUUCCCAUGCCUGGGGCUCUGUCUGUCCAUUCCCUACCCCCCAUUGGCAGACAGGUUGUAUGAUCUCUCAGGUUAUCAUUCCCCACUCUUCCCCCUCAUGCCAGCAGCUGUGCACACCCCCAUUCCCCUUAUCCCUCAAAGCACGUGCUAUCCCCUCUGCCCAUACAACGGUCUCCCAACUCCCCCAUCCCGCAAUGGCAGGGGCUGUGUGCACCCUCCAUUGUCUCCUUUCUGUCACAGAGAUGAGUCAUUCAGUGUGUCAACAUACUAAACUCUAUUAGGAGGAUAGGCAGAGAGGCUAGAGACGGUUAUGGUGGAAGGUGGUGUUUGUAUUACUGCAGCACCUACCAGCCUCAGUCAUGGACCAGGAUCCCACUGCACUAGGAGCUGUACUAACAAAGAAUAAGAAGGUGCCAUCAGUUUGACGUACAGACAAUUGUAAAGGUGCUUGAAGCUGUGGUUCUGCUAAACAGAGGGCAGGGGCACUUUCUACAUCUCCCAUGUUUCCCCUUAGGGUUUUGCCCAUCUCCGUCCCCAAAUAGGGUUCUGCCCCAUGCUGCCCCCAACAUUCCUUGAAAUUGUAGAAUUGACUGGAUGUGGCAUUCAAAAUUUAUAUUGCAGAAAGACAAAGAGAAAUGGUGUGUAAAGCAUCCCACGUGUGGCUAAUCAGAGUAGAGGUGCUGUUUUGCCAAACACUGUAUCUGUUCUUCUGAAGUGAAACAAAUUACAGAUGAGGCCCAGCUGCCCAUGUCAUAUUAGGAUAGCCGUCUUCCAUCUGAGAUGCCCAUCAGCAGUUAAGGCUCGAUCCUGCACCUGUAAGAGAGCCUGCAUUGCUACCAUGGUCCAUGGGAGUUUAGAGCAUUCAAGCACUUGAUAGGAUUAGCUUUAGUUGUGUAAAAUGGGCAUCUGUGGAAAAUUCUACUCUGAGUGACCAAAUGUGGCAGGUGGCUGUAGGCAUAAGGAGCCCAUAUCGGAAGAGAAGUUCAAUUAUAUGCCCAAGCAGUAAAAGUUCAUCCCUGAUCAACCUUUUUGUUAUCCCCCUGAACGCAGAAGAUUAUCUUAAGACAUAACAUGCUGAUCUGCAGGGAGCAUCUUGAAGAACAGCUUUCUUUGUAUUAUUAGAGCAGACAAAAUGUACCCAAAUGCACCUUUGCUUUUGUGCCUGAAGACAUUGUCAAUGAUACAGUUUGUAUGAUCAUGGUCAUAGUACUGAAUUGCAGCUUGCAGAUACAAAAUGCCUUGCUUUCCUAGCCAGGGGCAGCGUGGUUUGCUAACCACCUUAGAACUGGAAAAGAAACAGAAUGGUUCUAAAUCUUACCCUUAUAAAGAAAUGGCUUUAAACACUUACUAAAUAGGGGCAGUUUUGAGAACUCUGUGUGUGGGAGAUUCAGACAUACAGGCUAUCCCUUGUAUGUAUGUUAUUAAUAGCAGCCAGUAACUGCUAUUGUACUUAUUUGGAAAAAACAAUGUUCUUUAAUAAAGCUGAAGCCUCUGUGUGCAUGUGUCAGUGUUGUAAUUCAUCAUCUCAUAAAAAUCUGCAUGUUGCAUUUUUCAAGUGCAGGUUCCUCAGAUCAUAGACAAACAUUCUCAGUCCAUUUACCCUG